rnacentral:rRNA from 1 species
GACGAACGCUGGCGGCGUGCUUAACACAUGCAAGUCGAACGGAAAGGCCCUGCUUUUGUGGGGUGCUCGAGUGGCGAACGGGUGAGUAACACGUGAGUAACCUGCCCUUGACUUUGGGAUAACUUCAGGAAACUGGGGCUAAUACCGGAUAGGAGCUCCUGCUGCAUGGUGGGGGUUGGAAAGUUUCGGCGGUUGGGGAUGGACUCGCGGCUUAUCAGCUUGUUGGUGGGGUAGUGGCUUACCAAGGCUUUGACGGGUAGCCGGCCUGAGAGGGUGACCGGCCACAUUGGGACUGAGAUACGGCCCAGACUCCUACGGGAGGCAGCAGUGGGGAAUAUUGCACAAUGGGCGGAAGCCUGAUGUAGCAACGCCGCGUGCGGGAUGACGGCCUUCGGGUUGUAAACCGCUUUCGCCUGUGACGAAGCGUGAGUGACGGUAAUGGGGAAAGAAGCACCGGCUAACUACGU